UUGCUAUGCGCAGCGGUAAUGAUUCGAACCUGCCGCAGGUUCGAGCCGGGCUUUAGCGAGGCAACAUUGCCGCUUGCGGCAAUGGCCCGGAGGGCGAAGUCAUCCUGCACGACCCACCA
rnacentral:sRNA from 1 species